CGCUCCAUAGAAUAAUUGGCAAAAACAAGCAUUUUGAUUACAUCAACCUAAAAAAUUUUUUAGUUUUAGAUCUAUACCAGAUGCACGCACAUACAGAUCAAAGAUGCCUGCAUGCACGUAUUGCAACGGCUCAAACAAUUUAUUGACACUACAACUUAUUCAUAUCUGAAUUACGUGACCUAAAAUAUUUAAGCUCAAAUUGUUAGUAGUAGACUAAAUC
rnacentral:lncRNA from 1 species